AACAUCUUGAAAUAUAAGUUUUUCGGAGUUAUAGCAGAAUUUUUAUGUAAAAAAUUUUUUUCCAUGGGUUACGGAGCCAUGAGAUUAUUUAUUAACUUUUAAUAGCUCAAAUUAUGGGUUUUUUGAGGUUAUGUCAAAAUCCUGAUCUGAUGGGGUUAAAUAGGCCACGGAUUUAGAUUCAGCAACCCCAAAAACAUAUGGUAGAUAUAGUCAGACUCCCAGAUCAAAACAAAAAAUUUUUUUUGUGUGGCUGUGUUAUUGCUGGCUGGCUGUCUGGUCGGUCGGACGUUUGUUUUAAAUUAUAAAAAAAUGGAUGUAGUAGAAAUGUGGGAAAUAUUUUUUGAUCACCUAUCUGAUGAAGAUGAUGAAGAUAACUUUCAACCUCUACGAGAACAUCAUAUAAAGAUCCCACAUUUUUUUUGAAAACAUUGUCGUAGCAUAUUCAUUGAC